UCAGAUUGAACGCUGGCGGCGUGCCUAACACAUGCAAGUCGAGCGAGAAAGUCUACUUCGGUAGAUGAGUAAAGCGGCGCACGGGUGAGUAACGCGUGGAUUAUCUACCUCCGGGAACGGGAUACCAGUGGGAAACCGCUGCUAAUACCGUAUACGCUGGUAACGGGAAAGGGUGCCUCUUCUAUGCAUCUGCCCGGAGAUGAGUCCGCGUCCCAUUAGCUAGUUGGCGGGGGUAAUGGCCCACCAAUGCUACGAUGGGUAGCUGGUUUGAGAGGAUGAUCAGCCACACUGGGACUGAAACACGGCCCAGACUCCUACGGGAGGCAGCAGUGGGGAAUAUUGCGCAAUGGGGGAAACCCUGACGCAGCGACGCCGCGUGGAGGAAGAAGGCUUUCGGGUCGUAAACUCCUGUCAAGAGGGAAGAAGUGUAUGUAGGUUAAUAGCCUAUGUAUCUGACGGUACCUCUAGAGGAAGCACCGGCUAAUUCCGUGCCAGCAGCCGCGGUAAUACGGAAGGUGCAAGCGUUAAUCGGAAUCACUGGGCGUAAAGCGCGCGUAGGCGGCCUUGUAAGUCGGAUGUGAAAGCCCACGGCUCAACCGUGGAACUGCAUUCGAAACUGCUUGGCUUGAGUCUUGGAGAGGGUGGCGGAAUUCCAGGUGUAGGAGUGAAAUCCGUAGAUAUCUGGAGGAACACCAGUGGCGAAGGCGGCCACCUGGACAAUGACUGACGCUGAGGUGCGAAAGCGUGGGUAGCAAACAGGAUUAGAUACCCUGGUAGUCCACGCCGUAAACGAUGGAUGCUAGGUGUCUGCCCGUUGGGGUAGGUGCCGUAGUUAACGCGUUAAGCAUCCCGCCUGGGGAGUACGGUCGCAAGGCUGAAACUCAAAGAAAUUGACGGGGGCCCGCACAAGCGGUGGAGUAUGUGGUUUAAUUCGAUGCAACGCGAAGAACCUUACCUGGACUUGACAUCCCGCGAAUCCUCUAGAGAUAGAGGUGUGCCCUUCGGGGAGCGCGGUGACAGGUGCUGCAUGGCUGUCGUCAGCUCGUGC
rnacentral:rRNA from 1 species